rnacentral:rRNA from 1 species
UACGUAGGGGGCAAGCGUUGUCCGGAUUUAUUGGGCGUAAAGCGCGCGCAGGUGGUGGAUUAAGUUGUGGGUAAAAGGCAUUGGCUCAACCAAUGUAAGCCUGCAAAACUGGUACACUUGAGUGCAGGAGAGGGGAGUGGAAUUCCCGGUGUAGCGGUGGAAUGCGUAGAUAUCGGGAGGAACACCAGUGGCGAAGGCGACUCUCUGGCCUGUAACUGACACUGAGGCGCGAAAGCGUGGGGAGCGAACAGG